AACCUCCGCAAUGUGAGAAAUCGCGACGGGGGGAUCCCAAGUGCCAUUCUUAACGGGAUGGCUUUUCAUUAGUGUAAAAAGCUUUUGGAAUAAGAGCUGGGCAAGACCGGUGCCAGCCGCCGCGGUAACACCGGCAGCUCUAGUGGUAGCAAUUUUUAUUGGGCCUAAAGCGUCCGUAGCCGGUUUAAUAAGUCUCUGGUGAAAUCCUGUAGCUUAACUGUGGGAAUUGCUGGAGAUACUAUUAGACUUGAGACCGGGAGAGGUUAGAGGUACUCCCAGGGUAGAGGUGAAAUUCUGUAAUCCUGGGAGGACCGCCUGUUGCGAAGGCGUCUAACUGGAACGGUUCUGACGGUGAGGGACGAAAGUUAGGGGCGCGAACCGGAUUAGAUACCCGGGUAGUCCUAACUGUAAACGAUGCGGACUUGGUGUUGGGGUGGCUUUGAGCUGUCCCAGUGCCGAAGGGAAGCUGUUAAGUCCGCCGCCUGGGAAGUACGGUCGCAAGACUAAAACUUAAAGGAAGU
rnacentral:rRNA from 1 species